rnacentral:rRNA from 1 species
AGAGUUUGAUCCUGGCUCAGGACGAACGCUGGCGGCGCGCCUAACACAUGCAAGUCGAACGAGCGAGAGAGAGCUUGCUUUCUCAAGCGAGUGGCGAACGGGUGAGUAACGCGUGAGGAACCUGCCUCAAAGAGGGGGACAACAGUUGGAAACGACUGCUAAUACCGCAUAAGCCCACGGCUCGGCAUCGAGCAGAGGGAAAAGGAGCAAUCCGCUUUGAGAUGGCCUCGCGUCCGAUUAGCUAGUUGGUGAGGUAACGGCCCACCAAGGCGACGAUCGGUAGCCGGACUGAGAGGUUGAACGGCCACAUUGGGACUGAGACACGGCCCAGACUCCUACGGGAGGCAGCAGUGGGGAAUAUUGCACAAUGGGGGAAACCCUGAUGCAGCGACGCCGCGUGGAGGAAGAAGGUCUUCGGAUUGUAAACUCCUGUUGUUGAGGAAGAUAAUGACGGUACUCAACAAGGAAGUGACGGCUAACUACGUGCCAGCAGCCGCGGUAAAACGUAGGUCACAAGCGUUGUCCGGAAUUACUGGGUGUAAAGGGAGCGCAGGCGGGAAGACAAGUUGGAAGUGAAAUCCAUGGGCUCAACCCAUGAACUGCUUUCAAAACUGUUUUUCUUGAGUAGUGCAGAGGUAGGCGGAAUUCCCGGUGUAGCGGUGGAAUGCGUAGAUAUCGGGAGGAACACCAGUGGCGAAGGCGGCCUACUGGGCACCAACUGACGCUGAGGCUCGAAAGUGUGGGUAGCAAACAGGAUUAGAUACCCUGGUAGUCCACACUGUAAACGAUGAUUACUAGGUGUUGGAGGAUUGACCCCUUCAGUGCCGCAGUUAACACAAUAAGUAAUCCACCUGGGGAGUACGACCGCAAGGUUGAAACUCAAAGGAAUUGACGGGGGCCCGCACAAGCAGUGGAGUAUGUGGUUUAAUUCGACGCAACGCGAAGAACCUUACCAAGUCUUGACAUCCUGCGACGCACAUAGAAAUAUGUGUUUCCUUCGGGACGCAGAGACAGGUGGUGCAUGGUUGUCGUCAGCUCGUGUCGUGAGAUGUUGGGUUAAGUCCCGCAACGAGCGCAACCCUUAUGGUCAGUUACUACGCAAGAGGACUCUGGCCAGACUGCCGUUGACAAAACGGAGGAAGGUGGGGAUGACGUCAAAUCAUCAUGCCCUUUAUGACUUGGGCUACACACGUACUACAAUGGCGUUAAACAAAGAGAAGCAAGACCGCGAGGUGGAGCAAAACUCAGAAACAACGUCCCAGUUCGGACUGCA